GGAGGGGGGGCCAGCGUUGUUCGGAAUUAUUGGGCGUAAAGGGCGCGUAGGCGGGCCUGGUAAGUCAGACGUGAAAUCCCGCGGGCUCAACCGCGGAACUGCGUUUGAUACUGCCGGGCUUGAGUCCCGGAGAGGGUAGCGGAAUUCCCAGUGUAGCGGUGAAAUGCGUAGAUAUUGGGAGGAACACCAGUGGCGAAGGCGGCUACCUGGACGGGUACUGACGCUGAGGCGCGAAAGCGUGGGGAGCAAACAGGAUUAGAUACCCUGGUAGUCCACGCCGUAAACGAUGGGCACUUGGUGUUGCGGGUAUCGACCCCUGCAGUGCCGAAGCUAACGCAUUAAGUGCCCCGCCUGGGGAGUACGGUCGCAAAGGCUG
rnacentral:rRNA from 1 species